rnacentral:sRNA from 1 species
GCCGGGCGGGGUGGUGCACACCUGUAAUCCCAGCAGUUUGGGAGGCUGAGGCAGGAGGAUGUAGAGUUCAAAGUCAGCCUCAG